rnacentral:rRNA from 1 species
AAAUGAAUUGACGGGGCCCGGCACAAGCGGUGGAGCAUGUGGUUUAAUUCGAAGCAACGCGAAGAACCUUACCAGAUCUUGACAUCCAAUUGACCAUCUUUAAUCGAGAUUUUGCCUUCGGGUACAAUUGAGACAGGUGGUGCAUGGUUGUCGUCAGCUCGUGUCGUGAGAUGUUGGGUUAAGUCCCGCAACGAGCGCAACCUUGUGUUUAGUUGCAAACAGGUCAAGCUGUGCACUCUAGACAGACUGCCGUGGACAACACGGAGGAAGGUGGGGAUGACGUCAAAUCAUCAUGCCCCUUAUGAUCUGGGCUACACACGUGCUACAAUGGCCGGUACAACGGGCAGCGAAGGAGCGAUCCGGAGCGAAUCCUAAAAAGCCGGUCCCAGUUCGGAUUGCAGGCUGAAACUCGCCUACAUGAAGUUGGAGUUGCUAGUAAUCGCGAAUCAGAAUGUCGCGGUGAAUGCGUUCCCGGGUCUU